rnacentral:lncRNA from 1 species
AAAGCCAGCCACGUUUGGCAGGAAGGGGCUGUAAUUCCCUGGGAUAGUGGAGCUGCUAACCUCCAACUGUGAAAACAAAGCCUGAGUCACCAGCACCCUCCCUGCGGUGUAGUUAGAGCCCCUUAAUUCUGAACUGUUAUUCCUGGUGCAUUGCUCUAAUUAAAAGGGAGCCUAGAAUUGUGUAGGUUCACAUAGUAACUGAGGUCCAUCUGCUCAGUCAGUCAGCUUACUGAAUGCUGGCUGAGCAGCAGCGGUGCUCGGACAUGCAGUCUGCUAGACGUGAGGGAAAAUCCCUGUCCAUUUUAAGAGGUCAGAAUUUGUGUGAUGCAGGUUAGAACCUCAGCAGCCAAAGACACCUCCACACUGGUCGCUCCAGAGGAAGCGUCCCAGGUAGCUGUUGUGCUCAGCUCACGUUUCACCAGCUCAGAGCUCCCAGCAGUGCACCAAAGAGUAGCUUCAUUGCUUCAUAGAGCGUUCUCAUGAAAUCAUCCUCAGCAUCACUCUUGCUGCGGAGAGGGUGAGCUGUGUGAGAGGUGAUUACUGCACGAUGCCAGGAGAACGCAUAAAUGACUUAGUUCUUAUAGGUUUGUUCUUACCAUAGUGUAAAAACCAAACCAAAACAUGGUCUUUGCAUAGCAACACCAAGCAGGCAGGUAGCGUGUUUCUCCAAGUUCUUUCCCACCCUCCCAGAAACAGUGAGGGGAAAGGGGCUGCGGAGCAGGAUUACGAAUACAGUAACACGAGGCAGAAGAGAUGGUCACAGUCUUUAUUUCCACUUUAAGUCUUUAGCCAUCAGUAAAGUGAAUGGGCAAAAAAACAACCAACUGAGCAGGCAAACCCACUUUAGCUGGUUAUUUCCAAAUAUAAAUAACUGUGGGACAACUGAAAUUGAGCCAAAAUAGAAAAAGGGAGCUGGGGAAUUUAAAAGACAAAAGUAAGCCUAGCUGCACUCCCUUUUCAUAGUGUCAGUGAAGAGGAAGUGCCAUAACAAAAAGGAAGCUAUGGUUACAUUUGAUCAGACGUUUAUUCCAACAGUAGGCAUGGAAUUGCACUUUCAUGAAAAUGCCAGAGCUGAAUCGAGUCCAGUGCACCGGGGGCAUUGUGCGCACUUAGCUUGAUUUCUGCUGCAGCUCCUUCAUUCUGUUCAGGGCACUGCCAGCCUGGAACCACUCGAUCUGCGACUCGUUGAAGGUGUGGUUCAACAUGAUUGUUUCUUGGCUCCCGUUGGGAUGCUUGAUGAUGCAUUUCAGAGGCUUUCCAGGAGCAAAGUCUGCCAGCCCCACGAUGCUCAGCUUGUCCACAGGAUGAAUCUUGUUGUAGUCUGCUGGAUCCGCAAAAGUAAGAGGCAGCAGACCUUGCUUCUUCAGGUUGGUUUCUGCAGAGAACAAACCACUGAAUCAACUCACUGCAGGGGAUCAGGAUUACUUCGUGGCUGCUCAGUGCUUCUCCAAGUAGGAGUUCACCAGUAAUUACGAAUCCAGGAGCAAAAUGAGUAUAUCCACUGUUCGUGCCAUAUCUAACUAGAUACGUAACAGCAUUCCUGACAUGAGACCGUGCGAUCUGUCAGCAGAUAGAGUUCCUUUCCAUAGGCAUUGAGCCCUGAGGCAAGGUAAACAUCUCUUCCACCCAAACCAAACAUCCUGUUUAUAUACACUAAAGGGGAAGUGCAGCUUACCGUGGAUCCUGGCAAAGCUCUUGGUGAUGAUCACCCUGCCCCCUAAGUGACGUGGCUCCAAGGCUGCGUGCUCUCGG